rnacentral:lncRNA from 1 species
AAAUUAAAUCAUAUUAUUUGCAUGCAAAUGCAGAAAACUGUUGUUUAAUUCCAUUUUUUUUUCUUGUGCAAUAUAUGGGUGUCUGUUCAGGGAAGGACAUUUCAGACGAGCUUUUUAAACCCUUAGAGUUGGAACAAUCACGGGAGACAACAGCAGAUACAGAAGGACACACCGCAUGCAUUGAAGAUGGAGUGUCUGUUGAUGCUGUGCCAAUCAUCACCACAGAGCAUUUCACAGAAGACAAUGAGCCAGGCCCAAGUGCAGCUGAAGAGGUCGUUGGGUCUUUAGAUGGACAGCUUGAGGAGAUUUUUGGGAUGCUGAAAAAGAAGCUGAAUGAGGAUGCAAGUUUUACACCGCCUCUACAGGUCCACGGAGAAGAAGUGCUUUGCCUGGACGAAGAGCUGUUGGCAGACCUCCAAAGAACUCAAGAAGAGAGCACCCAUACUGCAACAGCAGAUCCAACAACAAUCCCCAAACUCUCACAUUCUGUUUGCAAGACAAUAACACCCUUGAGAAGACAGACUAACCUCCUGUCCCCAACACACCACCGCCACCAGCAUGUGGUGGGUUAAGAGAUCCAAACACUAUAUAGAAGCUAUUAAAUCAAUAAGCCUUGAGAAGCUUGGCAUGAACAUCAUGAAACCUGAGCAUUACAAGAAAUCAGUGUUUACACCAUUUAUUUUAGAUUUCUGGUAUUGAUGUGCACAAUUCAACAAUGCACAUUAUUCUAAAAGAGAAAACAUUGUAAUUUUGAUAAUAAUGUAAUAAACUGGCUCCAUUCAGGUAUGAAACACCCACUUUUCACCAUGCAGUCAAUUGACUGAAUAAAAAUCAAGUUCCACCCUUCAUUUUUUCCCUAUUCAUUGAAUGUUCUGUUUCAGUUUGUAUUGUCAUAUUAUGACUUUAUAUAAUAAUUGCACCUAUGCUGGCCACCAUAUAUUUCAAGGUGUCCAGACACCUGUAACUUACCUUUUAACAACCCUAUACAAACAGAAAAUGUGUUUCUGAUGUCUUCAUUGUCCAAAC